rfam:Ictidomys tridecemlineatus contig094837, whole genome shotgun sequence.
UGGGUUGUGGCUCAGAGGUAGAGCGCUCGCCUAGCACGUGGGAAGCCCUGGGUUUGAUCCUCAGUACUACAU